rnacentral:tRNA from 1 species
UGUGGUUUGGAGUAAGGGCAACUCAGAAGUCUCAUAAGCUUCAAAUGCAGGUUCGAAUCCCGCAGCCGCAA